AGAAGUGAGAAGAUGUUGCAUUUAGGAAAGCUGUCGGGACCCCACACCUUGGAUUACACAGUCUAUUGAAAUCAAGGUCAACUGGAAACGAAUACUCUUUUUCCAUUCUUCUUUUUGUGCCUUCAGAUUUCAGCUGAAACCAUUGAGUGAAUAAGGCCCCAGAUACAGACCACUGGAGACCACCUCUGGGCCGUGGCUCACUGUGGUGGUUUUGAUGAACACCAUCAUCUUCAACAUGCCUGUAGAAUUAGGAACUACCCCUCCAAUGUUAGAAACACAAAGCACUGCUCUUCCUGAUAAUGAAUAAACAGGAAAACUCUAGGCCAAGAAAAACUUAUAACAACAACAACAAAGAGCCCACUCUAGCCCUAGUCAGUGAUUUAUCCAAAUGAAAAAGGACAGCAGUCUCAUAUGUGAAAACAAGUCUGGCUCUUGUGAAGCUUUUCUGACAGCUCCUUUCUGAAGGUGAACUGUACGGAAAUAGAUUCCCAAGUAAAUCAUUUACAGUAUGCUAGUGGUGGAUGUUGAGAGUACUUGGUAUUAGUCUUCUGUUUUUAUAUCAGAGAAUGUUAAAUGCAUUGUGUUCAUGCUAACCUGAUUAAAUAAAGGGCUCAUGA